GAGCUUGCUCCCUGAGAUUAGCGGCGGACGGGUGAGUAACACGUGGGCAACCUGCCUAUAAGACUGGGAUAACUUCGGGAAACCGGAGCUAAUACCGGAUACGUUCUUUUCUCGCAUGAGAGAAGAUGGAAAGACGGUUUCGGCUGUCACUUAUAGAUGGGCCCGCGGCGCAUUAGCUAGUUGGUGAGGUAAUGGCUCACCAAGGCGACGAUGCGUAGCCGACCUGAGAGGGUGAUCGGCCACACUGGGACUGAGACACGGCCCAGACUCCUACGGGAGGCAGCAGUAGGGAAUCUUCCGCAAUGGACGAAAGUCUGACGGAGCAACGCCGCGUGAACGAAGAAGGCCUUCGGGUCGUAAAGUUCUGUUGUUAGGGCUGAACAAGUACCAGAGUAACUGCGGGUAC
rnacentral:rRNA from 1 species